rnacentral:rRNA from 1 species
UACGUAGGGAGCAAGCGUUGUUCGGAUUUACUGGGCGUAAAGAGCGCGCAGGCGGUCGUUCAAGUCGAGUGUGAAAGCCCCCGGCUCAACUGGGGAGGGUCAUUCGAUACUGAUCGACUCGAAGGCAGGAGAGGGAAGUGGAAUUCCCGGUGUAGUGGUGAAAUGCGUAGAUAUCGGGAGGAACACCAGUGGCGAAGGCGACUUCCUGGCCUGUUCUUGACGCUGAGGCGCGAAAGCUAGGGGAGCAAACGGG